rnacentral:pre_miRNA from 14 species
UUAAACCGUUUAACAACUCAACCCAUCAAAUUAAAUGAGUUAUGGGUUGACGCAACUCAUUUUAUUAAAUGGGUUGGGUCAACCUAUAACUCAUUUAAUCAUAAACUCAUUUGAUUAUGAGU